CGUAGUUGAAACUAAUUAUUUAUUGUCAUUACGACAUUUGGAAGCUUUUGUAUAUGUUUCACUACGAAUGUUCGUGUAUUUAUAAAUUAACGUUGCUUUAUCGAUUUCUUUCGUUGAAAUCUAUCAAAAACCUUUGCACUCUAUCAACACAUACCAAUACACAUACACAUGUCAUAUAUGUCAGCAAAUAGCCUUGAAUCAUUGGAUUAUUGAAUCAAAUAAAAAUCCAUAUGUACACGAGGCAAAGAAUAUCUAUAAAGACCAUUGAAAAGGACACGAGUAACCUUUGGGUAAUAGUUGGUGGGAAUUCUGACUGUGCCGAUUAUCACGUUAAAGUGUUUGCUCUGCUGCAACUCCCAGUGAUGAAAUGUGUGUCGGUUGUAAUUGGUUCAGCAAGGCAAUCGUUUGAUGUCAUAAAUCUUUGAACCAAGCAAAAUUUAGAUGUGGUGGCCUGUGCGAUAUAUUUAAUACAAAUUUCGUCAAUGGUACUAAGGACCUUUGAAUAAUUAUAGCAAACCUCGACUUCUUAUCUUCAAAUUCCGCAAACGAGUGGCAACUACACAGAAAAUAUGGGAUGCAACCUGUGGAUGGGUCCGGUAGCUCGCAACUAAGCUUUUCGUGACAGCAAUGAACACCAUAACGAUCGGACCCUUCAUGGUGCUUACAACUGUCCCAUGCCGGGAUGGACUGUAAGUCUCCGAGUAAAGCGGUUGCCAGGCGCGUGUCCUUGAACCAAACCUAGCCUAUCACAUUCAUCAUCUUAUUCAUCACCGCUGACGAUGGAGUGAGCAGUGCGGGUAAAGAUUUGGUGACCGUUAUCUUCAAAUUCCAGAUAGCAAACUUCGACUUCUUAUCUUCAAAUUCCGUAAACGAGUGGCGACUACACAGAAAAUAUGGGAUGCAGCGUCCAACCUGUGGAUGGGUCCGGUUGCUUUUCGUGACAGCAAUGAACACCAUACAGAUCGGACCCUUCGUGCCGUGAUGUACUAGAAGACUCCGAGUGCAUGUGUCCUUGAACCUAACCUAACCUUUCACAUUCAUCACCGCUGACGAUGGAGUGAGCAGUGUGGGUGAAGAUCUCGUGCCCGUUAUCAGCCACAGGCCGUUCAGCUAGCAAACUUCGACUUCUUAUCUCCAAAUUCCAUUAACAACUGGCGUCUACACAGACAAUAUGGGAUGCAACAUUUUAGACCCGGCAAGAAGAAUCAAUGCCCGUAUCGAAAUCCUUUGGGAAGUCCAAAGCUGGAUCCCAUGACGCUGUCCAGGAAUGAAUAACUUAAAAACGCUGUCUAAAGGAACCGCACAAACGGUCGCAGAUUGUUGCUGAUUGCCUUAGCCAAUCUGCAUCAGCAUGAGCUAUGCAAAUCUCUACGAUGAGUGUUCUUGCCCAGUCUGCCUGGCUCCUCUCGCUUUUUGUAGUUGCUGUCGUGUGAGUAGGCUUGUCUAUAACAAUAUAUUUUUAAUUUUCUUCUAACAUUGGGCCAA